rnacentral:rRNA from 1 species
CAAGCGACUAAGUGCAUAUGGUGGAUGCCUUGGCGAUCACAGGCGAUGAAGGACGUAGUAGCCUGCGAAAAGCUGCGGGGAGCUGGCAAACAAGCAUUGAUCCGCAGAUAUCCGAAUGGGGAAACCCACCGCGCAAGCGGUAUCCCUGGCUGAAUACAUAGGCCAGUGGAGGCGAACCGGGUGAACUGAAACAUCUCAGUAGCUCGAGGAAAAGAAAUCAACCGAGAUUCCGAAAGUAGUGGCGAGCGAAAUCGGAAGAGCCUUUACGAUUUAGCAUUUUGCAUAGUCGAACGGAAUGGAAAGUCCGGCCGUAGCAGGUGAUAGCCCUGUAGACGAAAUGCAGAGUGUGGAACUAGGCGUAAGAGAAGUAGGGCGGGACACGUGAAAUCCUGUCUGAAGAUGGGGGGACCAUCCUCCAAGGCUAAAUACUCGUGAUCGACCGAUAGUGAACCAGUACCGUGAGGGAAAGGCGAAAAGAACCCCGGAAGGGGAGUGAAAUAGAUCCUGAAACCGUAUGCAUACAAACAGUCGGAGCCUCUUUAUGGGGUGACGGCGUACCUUUUGUAUAAUGGGUCAGCGACUUACAUUCAGUGGCGAGCUUAACCGAAUAGGGAAGGCGUAGCGAAAGCGAGUCCGAAUAGGGCGUCCAGUCGCUGGGUGUAGACCCGAAACCAGAUGAUCUACCCAUGGCCAGGUUGAAGGCACGGUAACACGUGCUGGAGGACCGAACCCACUAGUGUUGAAAAACUAGGGGAUGAGCUGUGGAUAGGGGUGAAAGGCUAAACAAAUCUGGAAAUAGCUGGUUCUCUCCGAAAACUAUUUAGGUAGUGCCUCAAGUAUUACUGCAGGGGGUAGAGCACUGUUAUGGCUAGGGGGUCAUGGCGACUUACCAAACCAUGGCAAACUCCGAAUACCUGCAAGUACAGCUUGGGAGACAGAGCACCGGGUGCUAACGUCCGGACUCAAGAGGGAAACAACCCAGACCGCCAGCUAAGGUCCCGAAUUAUCGCUAAGUGGGAAACGAAGUGGGAAGGCAUAGACAGUCAGGAGGUUGGCUUAGAAGCAGCCACCCUUUAAAGAAAGCGUAAUAGCUCACUGAUCGAGUCGUCCUGCGCGGAAGAUGUAACGGGGCUAAGCGAUAAACCGAAGCUGCGGGUGUGUACUAUGUACACGCGGUAGGAGAGCGUUCUGUAAGCCUGCGAAGGUGGCUUGUGAAGGCUGCUGGAGGUAUCAGAAGUGCGAAUGCUGACAUGAGUAGCGAUAAAGGGGGUGAAAAGCCCCUCGCCGUAAGUCCAAGGUUUCCUGCGCAACGUUCAUCGGCGCAGGGUGAGUCGGCCCCUAAGGCGAGGCAGAGAUGCGUAGCUGAUGGGAAGCUGGUUAAUAUUCCAGCACCGUCGUACAGUGCGAUGGGGGACGGAUCGCGGAAGAUCAUCAGGGUGUUGGAUGUCCCUGUUGCUGCAUUGAAGAUGGCGCUUAGGCAAAUCCGGGCGCGUAAAUCAAGGGUGUGGCUCGAGCGAGCAUGUCUCGCGAAGUGAUUGGAAGUGGUUCCAAGAAAAGCCUCUAAGCUUCAGCUGUACGAGACCGUACCGCAAACCGACACAGGUGGACGGGAUGAAUAUUCCAAGGCGCUUGAGAGAACUCGGGAGAAGGAACUCGGCAAAUUAAUACCGUAACUUCGGGAGAAGGUAUGCCCCGGUAGUGUGAGGCGCCUGCGCGCUGAGCAUGAUGGGGUCGCAGAGAAUCGGUGGCUGCGACUGUUUAUUAAAAACACAGCACUCUGCAAAGACGAAAGUCGACGUAUAGGGUGUGACGCCUGCCCGGUGCCGGAAGGUUAAGUGAUGGGGUGCAAGCUCUUGAUCGAAGCCCCGGUAAACGGCGGCCGUAACUAUAACGGUCCUAAGGUAGCGAAAUUCCUUGUCGGGUAAGUUCCGACCUGCACGAAUGGCGUAACGAUGGCCACACUGUCUCCUCCCGAGACUCAGCGAAGUUGAAGUGUUUGUGAUGAUGCAAUCUACCCGCGGCUAGACGGAAAGACCCCAUGAACCUUUACUGUAGCUUUGCAUUGGACUGUGAACCGGCCUGUGUAGGAUAGGUGGGAGGCGCUGAGCUCGAGUCGCUAGAUUCGAGGGAGCCGACCUUGAAAUACCACCCUGGUUUGUUUGCGGUUCUAACCUUGGUCCGUUAUCCGGAUCGGGGACAGUGCAUGGUGGGCAGUUUGACUGGGGCGGUCUCCUCCCAAAGUGUAACGGAGGAGCUCGAAGGUACGCUAGGUACGGUCGGAAAUCGUGCUGAUAGUGCAAUGGCAUAAGCGUGCUUGACUGUGAGACUGACAAGUCGAACAGGUGCGAAAGCAGGACAUAGUGAUCCGGUGGUUCUGAAUGGA